CUGCUUUCUGUAGGGAGAGAUGAUGCCGACCUCUUUGGGCGAGACGCUGGGGCAGCCCCCCUUGCCCCGGCUCUGCAGCAGCUUCUUGAGCUCCUCCCAGGCGCAAUACAGACUCCGGACAUCGAGCUCGUCGCUCUCGCAGGCCUUCAGCUCGCUGUCGUAGAAGAGCUCAUUGGGGAUCUUGAGGAUAGCCUCGUGGGACCUGGCAGAGGCAGGACUGUGCCCAGGGGGGUUGUGCAGCAUCAGCCUCUCCAGCAGCGAGAUGCCUGUGCCCAGUAAGACCCCGUGGCUCCCUGCGAGGCCACUCGGCCCCUGGGCCGCACAGAGAUGUUGGUCCCCAAGACGGCAGCCGCGCACCACUCACCCGCGAUAGCAACCAUGCUCUCCGGCUCUAC